ensembl:lncRNA
CUUUCCAAAUCCAUCUAAUCUCCAGAUGGAUGAGGGCUUGGACAGAGAUAUUAGGAAAGAGGCAGAGUCAAGCUGUUUGUGAGUAAGAGAAAACUCCAAAUCACUGAAAUUAAGCAUGGUCAUGUCUACCUACAUGCAGCUCAUUUGAAUGGAAAUAGGAUUCUCUCUGUUUAAUCCAACUAUAACCUAUUAUUACUAAAACUAAUAUUUAUAUCAUGCUGACCAUUUACAAAGCACUUUAUUAGGCAUUAUCUCAUUUGACUAUUCUAGCCACUCUGGGAUGGGUCAUUUUCUUCCUUUUCUCUCUAAGGGAGCUGAGGCUCACAUAGUUGAGUGACUUGCUGUGUCACAGAGCCAGGCUGUGAGACAUGUGAAGGGAGGGAUUCCUCUUCUUGGGCAAAGCCAGAAGUCCUUGGCCACAUCAUGCUGCCUCCUUGACCACAUACUCAUUUCCCCCAUGGAAACCUGAAAAUGCUGGGCUUCUAAAUCACAAACCAGUUUCAGUAAACCAAAGGACUGGCUUAAAAAGUCUUUCUACUCCUCCUGGGUAUACACAGUCUGUCUGAAGCCCAAAUUGUGGAAGCACUCACUCUGACUCUUGCUGGAGAUGACUUUCAAGGCUCUGCAGCUGGCUUGAGUCAACUGUGCUGUUGAGUGGGUGGAGCAGAUACUGUCAGUGCUCUGACCUGAUUCUUCAGCUCUCUCCUUGUUGUUUGUGCAUGCCAGUGGGUUUGGUAUGAUGUGCCUUCAGUGGCCAGGUCUGUGGCUUUUGUUCUCAGGUGACGGUCCUGACUGACGAAUGUGGCAGUGCUUCUGGUUGGAUGACUGCAAGGUGGAGCUAGCAUUUCAGGGCUACCCUGUAGGAUUGGGUGAAGUCACUCCAGGAGCAUCCACCUAAGAUCACACUCUGACUGAUUUCCUGCCCUACCCAGUCCUGCUUCCCUCACCCCCCAUCAGAGGCCUUGGGGAAUUCUUCCUGGAUGAAUCACCUGCACAGGAAUCCUUGUCCCCAAUUCUUCUUCUAGGGACGCUGACCUAAAAUAGAGGUAUCGGUAGUAUAUUCUAGAAUCUUUCAGGUGCCCUAGUUUAGUGUUUAUUUUCGUAUCUUCAAUUAAGCAGUUUUGAUGUCAAUCUGACCUUAAAUUAUUUAAAAUCUCCAAGCCUUUUCUGGCAUCUCUAACGUGGGGAUAAUCACACCUGCCUCUCAGGGCCAUGGGAGGGAUUGAAUGAGAUAAGGGGUUGGGGUGAAGUGAGGUACAAGGAUAUGGAAGCAGGAACAGUGGAAAGUACCCACGAUGAGUUCACCUGAGCCCAAAGAUUUUCAGAAUAUUUAAUAUAUUCAUUGGAAGGACUGAUGCUGAAGUUGAAACUCCAAUACUUUGGCCACCUGAUGUGAAGAACUGACUCAUUGGAAAAGACGCUGAUGCUAGGAAAGAUUGAAGGCAGCAGAAGGGGUGAGAAAGGAUAAGAUGAUUGGAUGGCAUCACCAACUCAAUGCACAUGAGUUUGAGAGUUUGAGCAAGCUCUGGGAGAUGGUGAAGGAUAGGGAAGCCUGGUAUGCUGAGUUCAACACGACUGAACAACUGAACAACAACCAACAACAUAUUUUCAAUUAAUACACAGAACCCUUUCCUCCUUAGAAGAAAGACAUGCUGUCAGUCUCCUUGAGUAGCAACGAGUUCUGGAAGCUGCUAUCACCUAUAACCAAAGGCACCUGUAGGUCCAAACUCAAGCCCUGUUGCUGGUCUUAGAGCACAGAUAAAGCAAUUAUUAUUUAAAGUCACAAGUGGCUGCCGCAGUUUCAGCCCAUAAGGAAGUAGCAUAAUAUCGCUCUGGAGUAAAUAGCCUUUUAUUUAGCAAAGAUGAGACCCGUGGGGCAUGAUUGGAAGGAGGCACUGAAACAAAGAGAUAGCUAAACCAAUCAGCAUAACAAAUAAACAAGAAUUUUCUGGGGAGAAAAGACGUGGAAGGUAGAGAAGGGGGAGGGAGCCGACAGGGAUUAAUCUGUGGUGUGGACAGUCUGCGGGAAGGCUGUGUGUUAAACAUCACCAGUGGCCAGAGGAUGUUCAAAGCUAAGGAUAUUUUGUGUUUGAUUUUAAGCUGCUUGCUCUGUGCUGAAAAGUAAUUGCCUGAGGGCCUCAUUGCCUCUCUGGAAAGUCUUGUUGGAGGGAGAGAAGCUGACCUCAUAUUCAUUCUUUGUUAUGUGACCCACUUCUGCCCAUGGGAAAUAUGCAUCCCUACACCCCCUGACGGGGAGCUGACUGUGGCACAGACCAUGAACUGCUUAUUGCCAAAUUCAGACUUAAAUUGAAGAAAGUGGGGAAAACCAUUAACCCACCCAAGUAUGACUGAAUCAGAUCCCUUAUGAUUAUACAGUGGAGGUGACAAAUAGAUUCAAGGGAUUAGAUCUGAUAGCCUAAAGAACUAUGAAAUGAGGUUCGUGACAUUGUAUGGGAGGCAGGGAUCAAGACCAUCCUCAAGGAAAAGAAAUGUAAAAAGACAAAAUGGUUGUCUGAGGAGGCCUUACAAAUAGCUGUGAAAAGAUGAGAAGUGAAAGGCAAAGGAGAAAAUGAAAGAUAUACCCAUUUGAAUGCAGACUUCCAAAGAAUAGAAAUGAGAGAUAAGAAAGCCUUCCUCAGUGACCAAUGCAAAGAAAUAGAGGAAAACAAUAGAAUGGGAAAGUCCAGAGAUCUCUUCAAGAAAAUGAGAGAUACCAAGGGAACAUUUCAUAGAAAUAUGGGCACAAUAAAGGACAGAAAUGGUAUGGAUCUAACAGAAGCAGAAGAUAGUAAGAAGAGGUGGCAAGAAUACACAGAAGAACUAUACAAAAAAGAUCUACAUGACCCAGAUAAUCACGAUGGUAUGAUCACCAACCUUGAGCCAGACAUCCUGGAAUGUGAAGUCAAGUAGGCCUUAGGAAACAUCUCUACGAACAAAGCUAGUGAAAGUGAUGGAAUUCCAGUUGAGCUCUUUCAAAUCCUAAAAGAUGAUGCUGUGAUAGUGCUUCACUCAAUAUGCCAGCAAAUUUGGAACACUUAGCAGUGGCCACAGGACUGGAAA